rnacentral:lncRNA from 1 species
AGCACCCAGGUGCGCAAGGAGGGCCUCACCCCUGCCCGCGGCCUCCCACGCCCUCCUUGGGCCUCUCCUUUCGACCCCCUUACCCUCUCCCUGGGAGACUCUACCAGACCUUCGAGGCUGCGUGUCCCAGUCAGCUAAAAAGGAGGCCCCGCCCGCGGCACCUGGUAGCUCCUCGGGCGCUGCGGGUUCGACGCGGCAACAGCUGCUGUUUUCUCUCCUGGAUUCGUAUGAGGAGACUGUCCUUCCUGUUUCGCAGAUGAGGAAACUGAGGCUUAGAGAAGUUUGGCAAAUUGGCUAAGUUCCUACAGCUAUUUCUAUGGAGAACUGCUGAGCCUUCUGGAGCAACAGAAAGUGUUGAGUCAAACCUGUUUCCUCCACUCCCUCACUGCCGCACCUUCCAGAGAAGUAAAAAAAGUCUCCCUACCAACUGACUGAUGAUUACAAUUUUUUUUAAAUUGAGAAGCAGUUUUCCUUCAACUGUUAGGUGAUCAAAGGUUUAAAAUACAAAAUACUUUGAAGAAGAUCCAUUAACUAAAAAAUUCAUUCAUUAAUCAGCAGUUAGAGAUUGUGGGAUUAGUG